GAUGAACGCUAGCGGCAGGCUUAAUACAUGCAAGUCGAGGGGCAGCAUGAUUGUAGCAAUACAAUUGAUGGCGACCGGCAAACGGGUGCGGAACACGUACACAACCUUCCAACAAGUGGGGGAUAGCCCAGAGAAAUUUGGAUUAAUACCCCGUAACAUAGCGAUGUGGCAUCACAUUGCUAUUAUAGAUUUUUCGCUUGGUGAUGGGUUUGCGGCUGAUUAGAUAGUUGGCGGGGUAACGGCCCACCAAGUCUACGAUCAGUAGCUGAUGUGAGAGCAUGAUCAGCCACACGGGCACUGAGACACGGGCCCGACUCCUACGGGAGGCAGCAGUAAGGAAUAUUGGACAAUGGACGCAAGUCUGAUCCAGCCAUGCCGCGUGAAGGAUUAAGGUCCUCUGGAUUGUAAACUUCUUUUAUAAGGGACGAAAAAAGGCUUUUCUAAGUCGUCUGACGGUACCUUAUGAAUAUGCACCGGCUAACUCCGUGCCAGCCGCCGCCGUAAUAC
rnacentral:rRNA from 1 species